GCGCACCAGUCGCGAAAACUUCGCAAUGCGCGAAAGCGCGACGAGGGGAUUCCAAGUGCAUGCACUAAGUGUAUGCUUUUCGUGAGUUUAAAACGCUCACGGAAUAAGGGCUGGGUAAGACUGGUGCCAGCCGCCGCGGGUAAUACCAGCGGCCCUAGUGGUGAUCGUUAUUAUUGGGCCUAAAGCGUCCGUAGCCGGUCCGGUAAAUCUCUGGGUAAAUCGUUGGGCUUAACUCAGCGAAUUCUGGGGAGACUGCUGGACUUGGGACCGGGAGAGGUCGGAGGUACUCCAGGGGUAGGGGUGAAAUCCUGUAAUCCUUGGGGGACCACCGGUGGCGAAGGCGUCCGACCAGAACGGGUCCGACGGUAAGGGACGAAG
rnacentral:rRNA from 1 species